rnacentral:lncRNA from 1 species
UAAAAAAAAAAUGGUUUCGAAUGCAUGAUGCAGUUAAAAGAAAAAAACAAAUCAUAUUAUUAAACAAUAAAUAGAAAAAAGAAAUAUGAAUAAUAAAGCAUAAAAAGAAAAUAAUAAAAGAACAAAAAACUACACCUAGGAGUAUCGAACCCACUACACUAAAGAUCUAGAAGUCACUCCCUUCCACCAAACCAGUCACCAACUAAUUGUUAUCUUAAUGCUAGCUUAAAUAUAUAAACUAACAUAAACUAAAAAAAAGAAUUAAAAUACAAAACUAAAUAAAAAACAGUUAGUCUCUCCUAAUUAAAAACCAACCGCUUGGCUGUUAGUUUCUUCAAAAAAGAAAAGAAUAAAAAUGGGGAAUGUAAAACAUUUAUUGAUUGAACCUAGGAAACCUAAACAUAAACUUAAUAGUUUGUUAAAAAGGGACUUAUUCUGUAUGAAAUAAAAAAACAUUAAAAAAGAAAAUGCACAGACUCGUCGUUCCCACUUUUCUCAACCCAACUCACAAAAAAAAAACUCUCAAAUGCUCUUUCCAUCUUCUUG